AUGGCCUGGACCCCACUCCUCUUAGGCCUCCUUGUUCACUGCACAGGUUCUGUAUCCUCCUAUGAAGUGAAUCAGCUGCCCUCAUUAUCGGUGAGCCCGAGAGGGGAGGCCAAGAUGACCUGUGCAGGAGACAAAAUUGGAAGCAAAACUGUUUCCUGGUACCAGCAGAAGUCAGGCCAGGCCCCUGUGCUGGUCAUAGUUGAAAGCAGCCGGCCUUCAGGGAUCCCCGAUCGCUUCUCUGGUUCCAAUUCUGGCAACCUGGCCACCCUGACCAUCACAGGAGUCCAGGCUGAGGAUGAGACCGACUAUUACUGUGCAGCAGCUGGUAGCAUUGAGGGCAGCUGGCAGUGUCCAUAG